CCUACGGGGGGCAGCAGUGGGGAAUAUUGCACAAUGGGGGAAACCCUGAUGCAGCAACGCCGCGUGGGUGAAGGAGCGUUUCGGCGCGUAAAGCCCUGUCAGCGGGGAAGAAGAAAGACGGUACCCGACCAAGAAGCCCCGGCUAACUACGUGCCAGCAGCCGCGGUAAUACGUAGGGGGCGAGCGUUAUCCGGAUUUAUUGGGUUUAAAGGGUGCGUAGGCGGAAUAUCAAGUCAGCGGUAAAAAUUCGGGGCUCAACCCCGUCGUGCCGUUGAGACUGAUGUUCUUGAGUGGGCGAGAAGUAU
rnacentral:rRNA from 1 species